CAGUAAUAUCCAAGAAGACAUAUAUUCAAGGUACAUCCAACAACUUCGACGAGGGAUAUUUCAUUCAACACUUCCUCUGUGAGCGAUAUGAAUCUAAAAUGUUUUAAGAGACAAUAACUUUUUCUUUACUUACUUCAAUGCACGGACAUGACGUUGAACGAUAUCCGUAAAUCUCUCUUCGACGGUGUCGCAAGAAUUUUCAUGACCAUUGACCAGGUUUUCCAAAUAAGAAAUAAUCAUUUCCAAUUGUCCACAAGCGUGCAUAGCAAAAGUAGCGGCAAGUCCGCAAGCAGCGGCCGUAAUAGAAUGGGCAAGGAAUCCUGAAAUACACUGAAUACCAAAGAAGAUCUCGUUGAUCGGGCUACGACGAGCGUCAACGAUGAUCUUCGCAACUGGAUAAACGAGAGGUCUGUACGUGAUAUUGCUAUCCUCCUCGGUUAUCAUUCCUCUUGCGAAAGGUACAGCUAUGUAAUAAAAAGCAGCACUGCUGUACAUGAAUGUUGCACAAACGAUGACAAUACGACGACCAAAAUUUGCAUUAGCCUUCAUUAUUUGGAGAUCUUUGAUAUGUUUAACUUUCUUCCAAUCCCACUCGAUGUAGUCGAAGCACCGACGAAUAUCGUUUUCUCGUACAGUUAGAGCACAAUAUUUUAUGAGUGCCAUCAGACAAAAGCUCAAUGGUCCAGUCAAUCGUAAUUUAUCGUAAGUAUCCUUUACCUCAAGCAUCAAGUAUAAUCCACAUGGUAUCAUGAGAAAGAUAAUAAGUGCAUAACAAAUUGUUUUGCUCAAUCGAUCCAAAUAAAUCUGACAAUACGAUAAAUCGGAAGAUUUUGGCCAAGCACCGAUUGAUUUUAAAAUCCAACGAUUCAAUUGAACAUUGAAAUUCGCAUUCUCAUCAUAAUUAUCUCGUACACCUGGCACGCACAAUGCAUCAUCAGCCAUCAUCGACGUUUGAACGACCGCUCGUUACUAAGUAACUAUUCACGGCGUUAGACGUAACGAGGCUCACCUGACCGAACCUCGCAAAGCAAAUGCAAAUGCAAAUGCGCGCCUGCGCUCUUCAUUGGAGUUCCUUCAGCAGGAUUCGCCGUAGGGACGUAACGAUAGUUUAGUACAAAUAAUGUGAUCUACGUGAUACCUUACGACUUAUUACACGUGUUACGGAUCGUAAGAUUUAAGAACUUUAUAAUCUUAAUUACGUCAAUGUUCGUAACAUAUUCAAAUAGGCGACCGACGUUUUAAUAAUCUGCAUUGAUGAACGAAUAAAGAUAAAACAAUACGGCUAGUCUUCCUCAAGGAAAAAGUUUAAUGAAAGAGAGCUUACUUCAAAGUUCGAACAUGUUGUUGAAUGAUACUCGCCAUUCUUUCGUCCACGUUGGAACACAUGCCUUCCCGACCAUCCAAC